AGUACCUAAAAUAGUGAAUGUGCAAUAAAUGUUAUAAUCUAUUAUUAGAAGUUUUCCCUUUUCUCUACCUACAGGUGAACUUUACAAAUUAGAUCUUCCAGGCUUUGACUGCGGUAAGGCAAAUUUGACAAAUUUCCCCUUUCCAUAAAAACUGGCUUUCAAACUUACUGUCUUGUUAAUGUUCUAAAAUCAACCUUCUUCUCACCUAUGAAUAUGGACUUCAUGAAUGAGUCAAAGAAGGCUUGGCUACAGUCAAUCUAUUUAAAAGGGGAAUUGAAAUAAAUGAGCUUAAUAUUUGACAAUUAUUAUACCUGGUACAUCCUAUUAAAGUGAAUUGAUAUAUGAGUGAUGGGUGAAGAAAUCAAGAGAGAGAUUUUUUUUAAAGUUAAAAUUUGGCAGUAAAGAGAAGGAAAGACAUAGGGAGAGAUGGGAAACGUACAGGUUCCAGGGAGGUUUGCUUGCGCGCUUGCUGUUUGCUGACAAGCUUUUACAGGUGGAAUACUGUAAUAGAGCUCUGUUAAAUAUAACAACCGACAACCUUCUUCCUCUUUUUAUGUUUUCCCUUCUCCUGCCUCCCAUGACUUGGCAGAGUCUAGUUCCAUUCACCUUAAAUCUGGGCUGGCCUUGUGACUUGCUUUGAUCAACAGCUGUGGUAGAAAUGACACUAUGGAAUUUCUAACGUAGGCUUUCAGAGACCUGUAGCUUUCACUUUCACUGUCUUGGGAUCAAGUCUUCAUGAACAGAAACUGAGGCUUAACUUAUGAAGGUGCACAUGGAGAAAGGGGCUUGAUCUGCCCCCAGCUGUCUGGCCACCAUGGAUGAAGCAUCACAUAUAAAUGGGGUUUUACCAUGUUGGCCAGGCUGGUCUUGAACUACUGCCCUCAAGAGAUUCACCUGCUUCAGCCUCCCAAAGUGCUGGGAUUACAGGUACAGAAAAUUUUCAUGGUUCACUGACUGAGGAUGAUCAAUCCCUUCAUGAUCCAUAACUGAAAGAAUGAAUUGUCUGAGAACAUCAAAGAAAGACUCCUCAUGCCAUCCACAUUGCAGCAAAACUUGAGGACCUUGAACCUUUGAUUCAUAAUUUUACAACUCAGAAGCAUCUCUCCACACUCUGGAAACUGGAUACCCUUUGGAACCCUUAAGGUAAGGCUAAUCAGUGAAGUUUUUAUUCCCAGAAGACGGCAUCCUUGAAGUAAACAGCUUUAUCCCAAGAUCACAAAUUAAGUCUUCUCUACUACCAUGAGACUCUUAUCUUUGAAUUUUUCCCCUUAUUUAUGCUUCUAUAAACAAUAAGAGUAAAAAUAGUGUCUGUUGUGUGCACUCAUGGGGUAUACUUUUAUUUUGUGAAGGGUUUGUGGCCAAACUUAUACAUGGAUAACAGAUACGGUUUGGAUUGGUGUCCCCACCCAAACUCAUGUUGAAUUGUAAUCCCCAGUGUUGGUGGAGCAUGGUGGGAGGUGAUUGGAUUAUGGACAUGGUUUCUAAUGAUUUAACAUAAUCCCCUUAGUGCCGUCUUGUGAUAGUUUCUCAUGAGGUCUGGUUGUUUAAAAGUGUGUGGCACCCUCCCAUUUACUCUCCCUCUCCUGCUCUGCCAUGUGCAGAUGUGCCUCUUUUUCUUUCAACUUCUGGCAUGAUUGUAAGUUUCCUUAGGUCUCUCUAGCCAUGCUUCC
ensembl:lncRNA